UACGUAGGGUGCAAGCGUUGUCCGGAAUUAUUGGGCGUAAAGAGCUCGUAGGCGGUUUGUCGCGUCUGCCUGUGAAAAACCCCGAGGCUCAACCUCGGGCCUGCAGUGGGUACGGGGCAGACUAGAGGUGCGGUAGGGGAGAUUGGAAUUCCUGGUGUAGCGGUGGAAUGCGCAGGAUAAUCAGGAGGAACACCAAUGGCGAAGGCAGAUCUCUGGGCCGUAACUGACGCUGGAGGAGCGAAAGCAUGGGGAGCGAACAGG
rnacentral:rRNA from 1 species